rnacentral:rRNA from 1 species
AACGCUAGCUACAGGCUUAACACAUGCAAGUCGAGGGGCAGCAUGGAGUCAGCUUGCUGACUCUGAUGGCGACCGGCGCACGGGUGAGUAACGCGUAUCCGACCUUCCCUUUACUCAGGGAUAGCCUUUCGAAAGAAAGAUUAAUACCUGAUGCCUUUGUUUCCCUGCAUGGGGUUAUAAAGAAAGAUUCAUCGGUAAAGGAUGGGGGUGCGUUCCAUUAGAUAGUAGGCGGGGUAACGGCCCACCUAGUCGACGAUGGAUAGGGGUUCUGAGAGGAAGGUCCCCCACAUUGGAACUGAGACACGGUCCAAACUCCUACGGGAGGCAGCAGUGAGGAAUAUUGGUCAAUGGACGGAAGUCUGAACCAGCCAAGUAGCGUGAAGGAAGACUGCCCUAUGGGUUGUAAACUUCUUUUAUAAGGGAAUAAAGUACGCCACGUGUGGUGUUUUGCAUGUACCUUAUGAAUAAGCAUCGGCUAAUUCCGUGCCAGCAGCCGCGGUAAUACGGAAGAUGCGAGCGUUAUCCGGAUUUAUUGGGUUUAAAGGGAGCGUAGGCCGGCGGUUAAGUCAGCGGUAAAAUAGUGUGGCUCAACCAUACUCCGCCGUUGAUACUGGCCGUCUUGAGUGUAUUCAAGGCAGAUGGAAUUCGUGGUGUAGCGGUGAAAUGCUUAGAUAUCACGAAGAACUCCGAUUG